rnacentral:rRNA from 1 species
AUUGAACGCUGGCGGCAUGCCUUACACAUGCAAGUCGAACGGCAGCACGGGUGCUUGCGCCUGGUGGCGAGUGGCGAACGGGUGAGUAAUACAUCGGAACGUACCUUAUCGUGGGGGAUAACGCAGCGAAAGCUGUGCUAAUACCGCAUACGCCCUGAGGGGGAAAGCGGGGGAUCGAAAGACCUCGCGCGAUUAGAGCGGCCGAUGCCUGAUUAGCUUGUUGGUGGGGUAAAAGCCCACCAAGGCGACGAUCAGUAGCUGGUCGGAGAGGACGAUCAGCCACACUGGGACUGGGACACGGCCCAGACUCCUACGGGAGGCAGCAGUGGGGAAUUUUGGACAAUGGGGGCAACCCUGAUCCAGCAAUGCCGCGUGAGUGAAGAAGGCCUUCGGGUUGUAAAGCUCUUUUGUCAGGGAAGAAACACCGGCUCUAACACAGUCCGGGGAUGACGGUACCUGAAGAAUAAGCACCGGCUAACUUCGUGCCAGCAGCCGCGGUAA